rnacentral:rRNA from 1 species
UACGUAGGGGGCAAGCGUUGUCCGGAUUUAUUGGGCGUAAAGAGCGUGUAGGCGGUUUGGUAGGUCCGCUGUGAAAACUCGAGGCUCAACCUCGAGACGCCGGUGGAAACCAUCAGGCUAGAGUCCGGAAGAGGAGAGCGGAAUUCCACGUGUAGCGGUGAAAUGCGUAGAGAUGUGGAGGAACACCAGUGGCGAAGGCGGCUCUCUGGUCUGUAACUGACGCUGAGGCGCGAAAGCGUGGGGAGCGAACAGG